CCUACGGGAGGCAGCAGUCGGGAAUAUUGGACAAUGGGCGAGAGCCUGAUCCAGCCAUGCCGCGUGCAGGAAGACUGCCCUAUGGGUUGUAAACUGCUUUUAUACAGGAAGAAUAAGCCUUACGUGUAAGGUGAUGACGGUACUGUAAGAAUAAGGACCGGCUAACUCCGUGCCAGCAGCCGCGGUAAUACGGAGGGUCCGAGCGUUAUCCGGAAUUAUUGGGUUUAAAGGGUCCGUAGGCGGAUGAUUAAGUCAGGGGUGAAAGUUUGCAGCUCAACUGUAAAAUUGCCUUUGAUACUGGUUAUCUUGAGUUGUAUUGAAGUAGGCGGAAUAUGUAGUGUAGCGGUGAAAUGCAUAGAUAUUACAUAGAACACCAAUUGCGAAGGCAGCUUACUAAGUACUAACUGACGCUGAUGGACGAAAGCGUGGGUAGCGAACAGGAUUAGAUACCCUGGUAGUCCACGCCGUAAACGAUGGAUACUAGCUGUUCGGGACCUUGAGUUCUGAGCGGCUAAGCGAAAGUGAUAAGUAUCCCACCUGGGGAGUACGUUCGCAAGAAUGAAACUCAAAGGAAUUGACGGA
rnacentral:rRNA from 1 species